ACAUUUCUUUAUAUCUAUAUUAAAAAAUAUUAUGUUUUAGCAUUUUUAUUAUUUUUUUUAUGUUUUAUUUUUUUUUAGGAACCUUCAAGUAGAGCCGCCAGGCAGGAUCCCCCAGUCUCCCCCAGAGCUCAUGGGAGAACCCGUGGCGGUCGGGGACUUGGUUCCAGAGUCUCCAUAUAGACAACAAACUCCUUAUCCAGCUGGUGGAGGUGCGUCCCUCUUUAUGUGACCACACUGACCGCCACCAUGCCGACCAUUACCAUACCUGGCGGCUCUGGAGGCAGAUCUGUGAGUCGUUGUUCAUUGGUUGGGGGGAUCUCAAUGUGGCGGCUUAGAAAGAAUGUGUUGACAAGGACCGGGACCGCUUCAAGAGAGAUUAAAACAAGGAAGUUCAGGCCCCGAGUGGAAUGUGAGCCGCCAUAUGUAUAGAGUGCGGCCAUGGGGUUCUUGCGUUCAAUGCUGGCGCUUAGAAGCAGCACUCGGGCGCCUGAACCAGCUCUUGAAGCGGACCCGGAACUGUCCGCCAUCCCCAGCCUUCCUGUCCCUAAUACACCGGUUCGGGUUAAUCCUGGUCCCCUACCUGGUCCCUCUUUUCAGUAUACGCUCUCACAUUGGAGACAAAAUGUGAGAGCUAUGUUGAAUAGCAGGAGAUCAGGUAGGAGCCAUCUGGAGGAUUAUGGGAACCUUGUAGAGAUCGAUUCCGAUGCUCUAGAAGGUUUUGCAGAUGAAAUGAGGCGAGCGUCGGAUGACUUGGCAUGCUGACUGGAGAGAGCAGAGGCAGUCGCAUCAACUCACCCCUCACCAACAUUACGUGCAAACCUUAGUCCCCCGGAUGGACCAAAUGACUCCCGAGCAGGUGCAUGAGUUUAAAAAUUUGAUGUUGAAAAUUAUACACUGUCCCACACCUACCCCCCAUCCACCACCUACCCCCCAUCCACCACCUACCCCCCAUCCAACUCUUUCUACCCACCCCCUUUCUGCCAACCAUCCCAUUUCUUCAACACCUUCUCCUCCUCACUAUACCGCUCCAACUUCUUUUCCAACUCCAUCUUCAACACAUGCUUGGGAACAUUCCAGUUCCGACCCUUCAACUGUCCACACCCCUCAAAUCCCGUCUGCAUCUUUUCCUGCGGCCUGUCAUUUUUAUCCCUCCACAGAAGACAGGGGGGCUACCACUGCCGGUUCAAGAAUGUCCACCUCGCAACGCUCCACCUCCC